rnacentral:lncRNA from 1 species
UUAAAACCCUAAUGCUGAUUGCAUGGAAAAGCUCAGUUUAGGGUUUAAAACCCUAACGCUGGCUGAAAGGAAAAAGUUCAGUUUAGGGUUUAAAACCCUAAUGCUGACUAAAAGGAAAAUUCAGUUUAGGGUUUAAAACCCUAAUGCUGAUUACAUGAAAAAGCUCAGUUUAGAGUUUAAAACUCUAAUGCUGGCUGAAAGGGAAAAGUUCAGUUUAGGGUUUAAAACCCUAAUGCUGACUAAAAGGAAAAUUCAGUUUAGGGUUUAAAACCCUAAUGCUGAUUGCAUGGAAAAGCUCAGUUUAGGGUUUAAAACCCUAAUGCUGGCUGAAAGGAAAAAGUUCAGUUUAGGGUUUAAAACCCUAAUGCUGACUAAAAGGAAAAUUCAGUUUAGGGUUUAAAACCCCAAU